UAUUCUCAAAAACCAUCAAACAAAAUACCAACUUCCUCUCUCUCUUCAAAAAAAUCGGCCAAACCAAGUUACUACCAUAUUCAUCUUUUUCAAACUCAAGAACUCUAUUUCAAGCAUGCAUGGAUGAUUCAAAAAGGGUUCAAGACUUGAAGAAGCACUAGGAACCUUGGAUAAUCUUAUUUUCUCAUCUUCAUCCAUAUUUUCCUAGCAAAAAUUGUCGAGAAACGAACCGCGAACAAGGAAUCGAAUAGAGAUUUGCACGGAACGCAAAUCUGAGAUUAGUGGACGGCUUUGGGAAAAUAUGUUCAAGUGGGUAUCAAGAACGCAAGCUUUUGUGAUGUCAUCCGUUUUUAGUGUUAUGUUUUGAACUUUGAAUAAUGUAGUUAAAGUUGUUGUUGUUUCAAGUUUCAAACAAGACAUAUGUAAUGUAA